ACAGCUAGGGGAGCUUUUGCUGAGAGAAUCAUAGCCUUUUCGCAUGAUUAGACCCUCAACACCUGAUCCGGUUAAUACCGGCGUAGGGAAGCAAUAUA
rnacentral:ncRNA from 1 species